rnacentral:rRNA from 1 species
CCUACGGGAGGCAGCAGUGAGGAAUAUUGGUCAAUGGCCGGGAGGCUGAACCAGCCAAGUCGCGUGAGGGAAGACGGCCCUACGGGUUGUAAACCUCUUUUGUCAGGGAGCAAGGUGCAGGUCGGGACCUGCUGUGAGAGUACCUGAAGAAAAAGCAUCGGCUAACUCCGUGCCAGCAGCCGCGGUAAUACGUAGGGGGCAAGCGUUAUCCGGAUUUACUGGGUGUAAAGGGAGCGUAGACGGCAGCACAAGUCUGGAGUGAAAUCCCGGGGCUUAACCCCGGAACUGCUUUGGAAACUGUGCGGCUGGAGUGCAGGAGGGGUAAGCGGAAUUCCUAGUGUAGCGGUGAAAUGCUUAGAGAUCAUACAGAACACCGAUUGCGAAGGCAGCUUACCAAUCUAUAUCUGACGUUGAGGCACGAAAGCGUGGGGAGCAAACAGGAUUAGAUACCCGGGUAGUC